UACGCUGGCGGCACGCCUAAACAUGCAAGUCGAACGAAGUAGCAAUACUUAGUGGCAGACGGGUGAGUAACAUGUGGGUAUCUACCCUUUGGCCUGGAAUAACACGAGGAAACUUGUGCUAAUACCGGAUAAGUCUUUACGGAGAAAGCUUUAUGCACCAUUGGAUGAGCCCGCACUUGAUUAGUUUGUUGGUAGGGUAAUGGCCUACCAAGACUAUGAUCAAUAGCUGAUUUGAGAGGAUGAUCAGCCACAUUGGGACUGAGACACGGCCCAAACUCCUACGGGAGGCAGCAGUGGGGAAUCUUGCACAAUGGAGGAAACUCUGAUGCAGCGAUGCUGCGUGAGUGAAGAAGGCCUUUGGGUUGUAAAGCUCUUUCGUCGGGGAAGAAAAUGACUGUACCCGAAUAAGAAGGUCCGGCUAACU
rnacentral:rRNA from 1 species